ensembl:lncRNA
CAGAGCGUUUGAGAUGGAGCGAACGCACAGGGACACCAGUCCACAAGAUGUGCCAGAGUUGCUGAGAGAAGGGACCUGUCUCUCAGACUCCACCUCAGAGGACCACUCACUCAGUUCAUACACUUCAGAAUCCUUUGAUGACAACGCCUCCAUUGUAACUGUCAUACGUCUUGUCAAUGAUGCAGUCAACAAUAUCGAAAAUGAAGUGUCAAACAUGGACAAAGAACCGCGGCGGAACAGCCCUGCUUCGCAAUGGGAGUCAUCCAGCCAGUCUGCAAGUUGGCUGUCACCCUCACGUCUGCGCCCGCCUGAAAUGGGGUCCCACUAUGACCCAGAGGACACCCAACAAACUAUCAGGAGAGGGGGCAGUACAAGGUCCCUACAACUGGAUUAUAGAGUCAUGAGUGUUGGCUGCAGUGGAGAUAGAGGAAGAGCGAGAGGAAGUGGUAAGCGGCUGUUCCAGUGGGAGAGGAACCAGUCGGGGGAAUGGGAGCGAAGGCGAGUGCUGGACCAUGAGACAAACAAAGAACAUGACAGAGACAUGUGCAAUGACUCUCCUGUAUAUGAAGAAUACAGAGAAACCAAACCAGGAGAGCAAGACACUGAGGGCCUGUACGACAC